CUUGGUCAUUUAGAGGAAGUAAAAGUCGUAACAAGGUUUCCGUAGGUGAACCUGCGGAAGGAUCAUUCACAAUAAGUGUUUAUGGCACUUUCAAAUCCAUACCCACCUUGUGUGCAAUGUAUAAGAGUCCUUUCCAACUCGGAUUGGACUUGAUUUUUCUCUCACACGUCUUCAAUUGCAAGUCUAAGCUUUCAGAGUAAUCAAAAAACUCGAAUACAACUUUCAACAACGGAUCUCUUGGCUCUCGCAUCGAUGAAGAA
rnacentral:rRNA from 1 species